UUAUUUGCUGGGGCUUGCUUUAGGAGCUUUCUUUUUAUUGUCUCUUGGUCGUCCAUAGAACAAACACUGACCGCAGCAGCCACAGCCAAACUCUUUGUUAAAUUGAUCGCCACUCCAUGUCAAACCGGUGGUGUUUCGGUUCGUUGAGCGCCGGAUCGGUGCCAACUACAUCUCCUCUGCGCGUUGAUCAGGGCGGUUUUUCUCGCCGCCAUCCAACGAGGGAGCCUUCGGUUGCAGUCGCUGCUUCUUUUUUUCGCUCAACUUCCGCCGCUGGUGGAGUUACUAGCGGCGUUGUCCUGGACGGUUGCGUUGGCAGUCUUGAUAGCUUGAGUCUGUCGGAGUUUUCGCUUUUCCAGUUCUUUUUUUUUAGGCUCCUGGCAGCUGGAUCGUUUCGUUGUUGACGGCUAUGCCGUGGUUUGUGGUUUUAUUGGUAACUGGUUCAUUGGUUGUGUUUUUUUUUUCUCGAGAGAGAGAGGUGAGAAUUGCUAGGGGAGAUGGGCUGCGGUGGUGGUCCGUGGGUUUCAGUGCGUUAAGUGUGGGAUCGGUGCCAACUCCAUCUCCUCUGCGUGUUUAUGAGGGCAGUUUUUCUCGGCGCCAUCCAACGAGGGAUCCAGUCUUUUAGCCUUCCGUUGCUUUCCCUUUUGUUUUCGCGCGACUUUCGCCGUUGGUGGAGUUACUAGCGGCGUGGACCUGGAAGGUUGCGUUGGCUUCUGUGAUCGUUUGAGUCUGUCGGAGUUGUCCCAUUUCGUGUUCUUUUUUUUCCCGAUCCUGGCAGCUGGAUCGUUUCGUCGUUAACGGCUAUGCCGUGGUUUGGUGGUUAUGUUGGUAACUGGUUCAAUGGCUAUGUUGGUGUUGGGCGUGCCAUGGCGGAAUAGCGCUGGGCAGUUGGGUUUUUUUUUUUAGGGGGAGAUGAGAAUUGCAAGGGGAGAUGGGUUGCGGUGGCGGUCCGUGGGUUCUGGCUUUGUUGAGUACAGAGGCAUUAAUCUUCUAUUACAAAGAAAAAAAAUAGCAACCGCGACCUGGAGGAAGGGAGAGACGGAAGGAGAUUAAAAUUAUCGACCUUGACUGACUAUGGAAAGGAGCAGGACAUGGGAAUCGAAGCAUUGGAAGCCAUGCUUAUGGAUGAUGAGUUUAGAGGUUAGGGUGGCUGGCUGUUCUAUCAUCAUGGUGCCGUGUGUUUUUCUCUUCCCCGGAGUUUGGUCAUGUUCUUAUGGUAUGCUCCUUUAGCUGUGCUGUUUUGGAUUCUUAGCUCGAUCAGUUUUAUUUCCAGAGGGAAAAGGAGGUGAACAGGGAGCUGUGAGUGCUAUCAAGAUCUAUAUAUGGUUUGCUGUGUGUGGAGUGAUCAGAGUGAAUUUUGGGCUUUUGAGUGAGAAUUCUAUGUUUUUUUUUUGUUGUUGAAUUUAGGAUUUUCAAGAGCCAAGAGUUUACUUGACUGAUAUCGCAUACUUGCUGAUUAUGGCAUGGACUAUUCUGGACAGAAAUAGCAGACCAUGCCUUCAGGCAAUUCUGAGGUUUUUUUUUUUCCAACAGAAAAGAUAGCAAACAAGAUCCGUGGCUGCUGUUGCACCGGGGCAUCCGUUCCUUUUCUUUCUGAGAUUCAUGUUGACAGAUUGUACAAUCAAACACUAAAUGCUUUAUUCAGUAUCUCACAGCCAAGAUUAAAUUCUGCUUUGUGUCCGGUCCAUUGAUCUGUCCACUGUGUUCAUCCCUUUAUUUUUGUUUUUUGUUUUCUUUGCCUUGUAUUGACAUUGAAACCAUUGCUCACAUCCUAUCUUUCUUCUUUCCUUUUUUUUCUUGGAUAAGGUUCACAGAUACAUGAGGUGAUUAUGGUGCCGUGGUGAUCACAUAGUUGGCUUGCUCGAGAUCAACAGCAGAAUUACCGUUCUGUUGGUUUUAAAUGAAUACUUUGGUUUAUGUUUUCUGUUUUUAACCAAUCCAUUUGCCACUUUGAUUUCCACAAUACCAUGGUGGGUUACAAAACUAUCAACGAAUAACAUUACCUACCUUUUGCAGGGAAACUGAAGCUGCUGGAGGACUGCACUGCCACUCCAGGUCGAGGUUGUGGAUGCAGCCGUGGUCUUCAACAACUUUUUGACAGCUACUGUUAUGGAGAUGGAUCAAACCACUUAAUUUUUGUGACAAGGAUCAAGGAGGUUUACUUUGGAUCCAGGCAACCUUUUGGUUUUUCUGUGUAGGAGACAUGUAAUUGCUUUAAAGGAUCUGAAGCAGCUCAUAAAACUGAUUUGUUGUAUCGCUUUUUGAUUUUAAUGCGAAGAGCUGUAUUUGGUAGUUUAA